UCUUCUACUUCUACCUGCAUCUCAUUCUCUCGAAAUCGCUUAUGCUUGAAUGGCCAAACAAAGGAUUCCAAAAUCAAAGCUUAUUCACUUCCAGGUAUGUCGAUCUAUAGUCGAUAUUGAUUUUAUACUUUUUAUUGGUUUCAUUACCUCAACUUUUUCUAAAAUUUUGACCGUGUCAUCGACUAUUAGGAAGGUGGUGGUGGUGGUGGCCUGAAGAGGAACGAUGACAACGACAUGGGUUGAUUUAGGGUUUCUCCAGUGGUGGAUGAUGGUUGUGGUUUAACGCAACAAGAAAGGGCGGCGGCUAGGGUUUCACUGGUUGGACAAUAAAUCUCAAAUAAUUGCUGGAAUUGCUUAUGCGUGUUGAAGAGGGUUGAUCGUUGGAAAGUUUCUAAAAUCAGAUUUGGCAAAAGUCAUCACCUUCUUAAGGAUAUAUGGUUCCACAGUCAUGUAUGUUUAUCGUACUUAAUAAACUACUUCCCAAAUUCAUACUGUUCAAGAAAUGUGAAGGUCGCCCGAUUGGGUAACGGGUCAAAACAUGUUGUGGUCAAUGCUGGUGGAUAAAAUCAACUGGACAGUAUCCUACCUUAAAAAGUGUUUGAUGGGGUCCUUGAUAUAUACGAUGUGAAAGAUUUAAGAACAACUGGUCAACUGUAUAUUUUCAUAUUUCAUGUGUUUUAAGAAGUAGCUACUAUUCACUUUGGAAAGCCAAAUGCUGUAUACCUGGAAAAUUGAAAUAAAUUAAACUUUUUCAAAUAAC